ACACUCCUACGGGAGGCAGCAGUGGGGAAUAUUGCACAAUGGGCGCAAGCCUGAUGCAGCCAUGCCGCGUGUAUGAAGAAGGCCUUCGGGUUGUAAAGUACUUUCAGCGGGGAGGAAGGCGAUAAGGUUAAUAACCUUGUCGAUUGACGUUACCCGCAGAAGAAGCACCGGCUAACUCCGUGCCAGCAGCCGCGGUAAUACGGAGGGUGCAAGCGUUAAUCGGAAUUACUGGGCGUAAAGCGCACGCAGGCGGUCUGUCAAGUCGGAUGUGAAAUCCCCGGGCUCAACCUGGGAACUGCAUUCGAAACUGGCAGGCUAGAGUCUUGUAGAGGGGGGUAGAAUUCCAGGUGUAGCGGUGAAAUGCGUAGAGAUCUGGAGGAAUACCGGUAGCGAAGGCGGCCCCCUGGACAAAGACUGACGCUCAGGUGCGAAAGCGUGGGGAGCAAACAGGAUUAGAUACCCCUGUAGUCCCAUGA
rnacentral:rRNA from 1 species